GUUUUAAAGUAAAUAAAGACCAUAUUAACGAUGUUAACAUGAUGAGACAUCGGUAAGUAAAUUAAAUUAGCAAGUGAAAAGAUUUUUUAGUUAAAUCAUGUAGUUAAAUAUGUAUAUUGUAAUUCUAUCUUGUUUUAGAUUUUAUGGAAUGGAGGAGAAGAUUUAACAGCUAGAAAUUAACAAAAAUCCUGCAAGAGCAUCGAGAUCUCGCUUUUGGCGAGUGGAAGUCCAAAGGCAAAGUGUAGCGGUUUGCAGUUCUUAGCCUCACUUUUUUGGACCUAACAAGACAGGAAAAGAAUAGUCAAAGAGGAAACCCGAGUAGCCAGAUGAUAAAAUAUAUGAAACCAUGAGCAGCCAGCCAUUGAAACUCUCAGCAAUUUGAAUAACAAUUUUGAUUAUUACCAAUCAUGUAUCAUACCUAUUAAUAGAAAAUUAAAACUGUUAGGUACCUAUGUUUUAAUUGAAAUUCAAAAUAUUGUUUAAUGUUUUAUAAGUAUUUAUUAAAUAAAUUGUCACACAUAAA